CAAUAGCGUAUAUUAAAGUUGUUGCAGUUAAAAAGCUCGUAGUUGAAUUUCGGGUCCCCGCGCUCGGCGCUUCAUUGUGCCGUCGUGGUGUCCCUCCUCGCCGUAAGGCGUCCUCUACUGUGAAAAAAUUAGAGUGUUCAAAGCAGGCAAUCGCUUGAAUACAUUAGCAUGGAAUAAUAAGAUAGGAUCUUGUCUAUUUUGUUGGUUGCGGACAACGAUAAUGAUUAAUAGGGAUAGUUGGGGGUGUCCGUAUUGAGCUGUCAGAGGUGAAAUUCUUGGAUUUGCUCAAGACGAACUACUGCGAAAGCAUUCACCAAGGAUGUUUUCAUUAA
rnacentral:rRNA from 1 species